AGAAAACUCCCCCUCAUCUCCAAAAGACCCAGCUCUCCUACCAGUGCCACUUGCUCUGUGAAGCAUUUUUCAGGGUACAAAGUGACUUCUUCAAACUGGUGAUUUACAAACAAAUCAAAUACAAAAUUAAAAGACAAAACCCACAAGAAGCAAAAGCACUAACAAACCUAAUGGAGCCUCUAUCUCAAUAGGAUAUUUGGUACGAGGGAGGACUCCAUCCACACUGGACAAGAAAAAGUCAAUUUUCCUAGGUGGUGUAACCUGGAGAUAUUAAAUGGUGUAAUCAGGAAGUUUCAUUGUGUUUAAUCAGUGGACACCUACUUGCACCUGUUAUUUCCAAGCAGGAAAUGACUCUCAAGGCCAAAUUUAUGAUUUUUCAUAUAAUCUAAUAGUUUUUCUUAUAAUCUAGGAAAUCUGGUACUCUGGAGAGAACUAAGUGGUAGACUUAGCAUAGGAAGAAAACCACACCAUUUGCUGUAAAUACUGAACAAAAACUAAAGCUUUAUAGGAAUCAAUCAGUGAGGACCUGAGUUCUAGAGAUGGUUCUUGGUACAAGCACUUAAUCAAAUAUAAGGGCAGAAUGAACAUCACAAAGUCAGUGUUGCUGCACAAAGGUAG